rnacentral:rRNA from 1 species
UACGUAGGGUGCAGGCGUUAAUCGGAAUUACUGGGCGUAAAGCGCGCGCAGGCGGUCCUUUAAGUCUGAUGUGAAAGCCCACGGCUCAACCGUGGAGGGUCAUUGGAAACUGGGGGACUUGAGUGCAGAAGAGGAAAGCGGAAUUCCACGUGUAGCGGUGAAAUGCGUAGAGAUGUGGAGGAACACCAGUGGCGAAGGCGGCUUUCUGGUCUGUAACUGACGCUGAGGCGCGAAAGCGUGGGGAGCAAACAGG